CAUCGGUGACACGACCCAACCCAUACCAAGCAUCUUCACAUCUACCAUGACCGAGGCUUUGCCCUUUAGUAAUUUCCUUGUCGGUCUGCCCGUACAGGUAUCUAGGAUUAUUGAUGGUGACAUGGAUGAUUCCUGUGGUCUGGAGAAGGUUGCUUCCAGUCACUUGCCUAGCUAAAUGUAUGUACAUUCUCUGAAUAUCUGUCAGACGUCUGUUUAUUUCCUCAUGUAUACAAAUCACGCUGUGGUUUGCACAAAUAUUCUUUAGGGUUCACUCGCCUCCUGUGUUCAACUCGUUGUCCAAUCUAGGUAGCACUAAUAGCGACAACGAUAAUAGUGUUCAUCUCGUUUCCAGAUACAUAAUUUUCUUUUCAGCUCGAGUGCGUUCUUGCUUUUGAUUAUGGCAUUUCUUACAA